rnacentral:rRNA from 1 species
AGUGAACGCUGGCGGUAGGCCUAACACAUGCAAGUCGAACGGCAGCACAGUAAGAGCUUGCUCUUACGGGUGGCGAGUGGCGGACGGGUGAGGAAUACAUCGGAAUCUACUUUUUCGUGGGGGAUAACGUAGGGAAACUUACGCUAAUACCGCAUACGACCUACGGGUGAAAGCAGGGGAUCUUCGGACCUUGCGCGAUUGAAUGAGCAGAUGUCGGAUUAGCUAGUUGGCGGGGUAAAGGCCCACCAAGGCGACGAUCCGUAGCUGGUCUGAGAGGAUGAUCAUCCACACUGGAACUGAGACACGGUCCAGACUCCUACGGGAGGCAGCAGUGGGGAAUAUUGGACAAUGGGCGCAAGCCUGAUCCAGCCAUACCGCGUGGGUGAAGAAGGCCUUCGGGUUGUAAAGCCCUUUUGUUGGGAAAGAAAAGCAGCAGGUUAAUACCCCGCUGUUCUGACGGUACCCAAAGAAUAAGCACCGGCUAACUUCGUG